GAUGAACGCUGGCGGCGUGCCUAAUACAUGCAAGUCGAGCGAACGGACGAGAAGCUUGCUUUUCUGAUGUUAGCGGCGGACGGGUGAGUAACACGUGGAUAACCUACCUAUAAGACUGGGAUAACUUCGGGAAACCGGAGCUAAUACCGGAUAAUAUUUUGAACCGCAUGGUUCAAAAGUGAAAGACGGUCUUGAUGUCACUUAUAGAUGGAUCCGCGCUGCAUUAGCUAGUUGGUAAGGUAACGGCUUACCAAGGCAACGAUGCAUAGCCGACCUGAGAGGGUGAUCGGCCACACUGGAACUGAGACACGGUCCAGACGCCUACGGGAGGCAGCAGUAGGGAAUCUUCCGCAAUGGGCGAAAGCCUGACGGAGCAGCGCCGCGUGAGUGAUGAAGGUCUUCGGAUCGUAAUACUCUGUUAUUAGUGAAGAACAUAUGUGUAAGUAACUGUGCACAUCUUGGCGGUACCUAAUCAGAAAGCCACGGCUAACUACGUG
rnacentral:rRNA from 1 species